rnacentral:rRNA from 1 species
UACAGAGGUCUCAAGCGUUUGUUCGGAUUCAUUGGGCGUAAAGGGUGCGUAGGUGGCGGGGUAAGUUGGAUGUGAAAUCCCCGGGGCUCAACCCCGGAACUGCAUUCAAUACUGCCUUGCUAGAGUACUGGAGAGGAGAUUGGAAUUUACGGUGUAGCAGUGAAAUGCGUAGAUAUCGUAAGGAAGACCAGUGGCGAAGGCGGAUCUCUGGACAGUUACUGACACUGAGGCACGAAGGCCAGGGGAGCAAACGGG